rnacentral:tRNA from 1 species
GGAGGCUUAGCUCAGUUGGUAGAGCAGCUGACUCUUAAUCAGCGGGUCGGGGGUUCGAGCCCCCCAGCCUCUA